UAGGGUUCAGGCAUUAGUUGUCACCAGU
rnacentral:sRNA from 1 species